UCAUCUGCACCACCAUCGUCGUCGGUGUCGUCGGAGGUUGACAGCCAAAUGUCAAACCAUCGUUCAUCUUCUUCAGUGAAGAAGGAACUCCCGCCUGCAUUGACGAGGUCGGCCUGCGCACACGCCAAAGCCUUCCGACGACGUCUAUCCAACCGCUCCUCGCGGCGCCGGCGCGUGUCCUCCUCGCGACGCCGUUCCCAGUACUCCUGCUCGUAGGCGACGUCUUCCGGGUGGCGCCGGCGCCACUCCGCCAUGACCCGCUCGUCCUCCUGGGC
rnacentral:lncRNA from 1 species